rnacentral:rRNA from 1 species
GAGUUUGAUCCUGGCUCAGAACGAACGCUGGCGGCGUGGAUAAGACAUGCAAGUCGAACGAGAGAAUUGCUAGCUUGCUAAUAAUUCUCUAGUGGCGCACGGGUGAGUAACACGUGAGUAACCUGCCCCCGAGAGCGGGAUAGCCCUGGGAAACUGGGAUUAAUACCGCAUAGUAUCGAAAGAUUAAAGCAGCAAUGCGCUUGGGGAUGGGCUCGCGGCCUAUUAGUUAGUUGGUGAGGUAACGGCUCACCAAGGCGAUGACGGGUAGCCGGUCUGAGAGGAUGUCCGGCCACACUGGAACUGAGACACGGUCCAGACACCUACGGGUGGCAGCAGUCGAGAAUCAUUCACAAUGGGGGAAACCCUGAUGGUGCGACGCCGCGUGGGGGAAUGAAGGUCUUCGGAUUGUAAACCCCUGUCAUGUGGGAGCAAAUUAAAAAGAUAGUACCACAAGAGGAAGAGACGGCUAACUCUGUGCCAGCAGCCGC